UUCUCCCACUUGCGCUAUGCUAACGCGUUUGUUUUGUUGUAUUUACCCAGAAUGCCCUGCGCUGUAGUCCGCUUCCUACUUUUGGAGCGGUGUCGUGUCCGGUUGGAGUUCAUAUUCGGACCACAGCAGAGUUCCCUUCAACAGAACCGAGACGGAGAUUUGUCUGCUGGCUGUUUGGUGUUUCACUCUCUAAGGCUCACCAGCACCUUCAGUUCCCAUUAAAGACGAACCUGUUGGGUUCUCCUUGUAUGAAGAAAUCUCUAAAGAACAGGAGACUCUGCAACUGCAAUAAGGAUUGGGAAGAAAAUAAUCGGUGGUUUCAAUCUGUCAGUGCUUGAAACUUUGCACUUUAUGCCAUCAGGAGUUUUC